UUCUCGACUUAGUGGCGGACGGGUGAGUAACGCGUGAGCAAUCUGCCUUUAAGAGGGGGAUAACAGUCGGAAACGGCUGCUAAUACCGCAUAAAGCAUUGAAUUCGCAUGUUUUCGAUGCCAAAGGAGCAAUCCGCUUUUAGAUGAGCUCGCGUCUGAUUAGCUAGUUGGCGGGGUAACGGCCCACCAAGGCGACGAUCAGUAGCCGGACUGAGAGGUUGAACGGCCACAUUGGGACUGAGACACGGCCCAGACUCCUACGGGAGGCAGCAGUGGGGAAUAUUGCACAAUGGGGGAAACCCUGAUGCAGCGACGCCGCGUGGAGGAAGAAGGUCUUCGGAUUGUAAACUCCUGUUGUUGAGGAAGAUAAUGACGGUACUCAACAAGGAAGUGACGGCUAACUACGUGCCAGCAGCCGCGGUAAAACGUAGGUCACAAGCGUUGUCCGGAAUUACUGGGUGUAAAGGGAGCGCAGGCGGGAAGACAAGUUGGAAGUGAAAUCCAUGGGCUCAACCCAUGAACUGCUUUCAAAACUGUUUUUCUUGAGUAGUGCAGAGGUAGGCGGAAUUCCCGGUGUAGCGGUGGAAUGCGUAGAUAUCGGGAGGAACACCAGUGGCGAAGGCGGCCUACUGGGCACCAACUGACGCUGAGGCUCGAAAGUGCGGGUAGCAAACAGGAUUAGAUACCCUGGUAGUCCACACUGUAAACGAUGAUUAAUAGGUGGUUGGAGGAUUGACCCCUUCAGUGCCGCAGUUAACACAAUAAGUAAUCCACCUGGGGAGUACGUCCGCAAGGUUGAAACUCAAAGGAAUUGACGGGGGCCCGCACAAGCAGUGGAGUAUGUGGUUUAAUUCGACGCAACGCGAAGAACCUUACCAAGUCUUGACAUCCUGCGACGAUGCUGGAAACAGUAUUUUCCUUCGGGACGCAGAGACAGGUGGUGCAUGGUUGUCGUCAGCUUGUGUCGUGAGAUGUUGGGUUAAGUCCCGCAACGAGCGCAACCCUUAUGGUCAGUUACUACGCAAGAGGACUCUGGCCAGACUGCCGUUGACAAAACGGAGGAAGGUGGGGAUGACGUCAAAUCAUCAUGCCCUUUAUGACUUGGGCUACACACGUACUACAAUGGCGUUAAACAAAGAGAAGCAAGACCGCGAGGUGGAGCAAAACUCAGAAACAACGUCCCAGUUCGGACUGCAGGCUGCAACUCGCCUGCACGAAGUCGGAAUUGCUAGUAAUCGCAGAUCAGCAUGCUGCGGUGAAUACGUUCCCGGGCCUUGCACACACCGCCCGUCA
rnacentral:rRNA from 1 species